rnacentral:tRNA from 1 species
GGAGAGGUGGCUCAGUGGUUAAGAGCACCUGUUGCUCUUGCAGAGAACCUGGGUUCAAUUCCCAACCCCCACA